rnacentral:rRNA from 1 species
UACGGAGGGUGCAAGCGUUAUCCGGAUUCACUGGGUUUAAAGGGUGCGUAGGUGGUCUGGUAAGUCAGUGGUGAAAUCUCCAGGCUUAACUUGGAAACUGCCAUUGAUACUAUCAGUCUUGAAUACCGUGGAGGUCAGCGGAAUAUGUCAUGUAGCGGUGAAAUGCUUAGAUAUGACAUAGAACACCAAUUGCGAAGGCAGCUGGCUACACGAAUAUUGACACUGAUGCACGAAAGCGUGGGGAGCAAACAGG